rnacentral:lncRNA from 1 species
AUGGAAAUGACAGAGAAAAUUCCAUAUGUCCCCCAUGAGAAAAUACUUCUCUUCUCAAAGGCUAUUGUGACUAAUACGGCUAUGAACAUGGGUUUACAAGUAUCUUACAAGAUGCUUUCAAUCCUCAGAAGUGAAAUUUAUGGAUCACAUGGUAAUUCUUUUUUCAAUUUUUUGAGUAACUGCCAUACCAUUUUCCAUAGUUGCUACAGCAUUUUACUUUCCCUCCGGUAAUGCCCCAGGAUUCUAAUUUCUCCACAUCUUUGCCAAUUCUUAUUAUUUUCUGUUUUUCUUUCUUUCUUUUUUAAAAUUUUUAUUUAUUUUUAAAAUUUCUUUUCAGUGUUCCAGAAUUCAUUGUUUAUGCACCACACCCAGUGCUCCAUGCAAUAUGUGCCCUCCACAAUACCCACCAUCAGGCUCACCCAACCUCCCACCCCAUCCCCUCCAAAACCCUCUGUUUAUUUCUCAGAGUCCACAGUCUCUCAUGGUUUGUCUCCCCCUCCAAUUUCCCCCAACUCACCUCUCCUCUCCAUCUCCCCAUGUCCUCCAUGUUAUUCCUUAUAUGCUCCACAAAUAAGCAAAACCAUAUGAUAAUUGACUCUCUCUGCUUGGCUUAUUUCACUCAGCACAAUCUCUUCCAGUCCUGCCCAUGUUGUUACAAAAGUUGGGGAUUCAUCCUUUCUGGUGGAGGCAUAAUACUCCAUUGUGUAUAUGGACCACAUCUUCCUUAUCCAUUUGUCUGUUGAAGGG